AUUAAUACCCAUAAUAUAUUUGAUAAGGCAUCUUAUUAAUAUUAAAGCUUCGGCACUUGAUGAUGGGUGUGCGGCUGAUUAGAUAGUUGGCGGGGUAACGGCCCACCAAGUCUACGAUCAGUAGCUGAUGUGAGAGCAUGAUCAGCCACACGGGCACUGAGACACGGGCCCGACUCCCUACGGGAGGCAGCAGUAAGGAAUAUUGGACAAUGGACGAAAGUCUGAUCCAGCCAUGCCGCGUGAAGGAUUAAGGUCCUCUGGAUUGUAAACUUCUUUUAUAUGGGACGAAAAAAGGGCAUUCUUGUUCACUUGACGGUACCAUAUGAAUAAGCACCGGCUAACUCCGUG
rnacentral:rRNA from 1 species